UGGAGUCAACUAUAUCAAUUCAUACCGAAUCCAGCUUUCCCUGCUUUAGUAUGUGUUGGAAAAGGAAAGAGAAAGAAUUGUAACAGCAACCUGCGUGUCCUUGAAACAUUGACAACAUGGAAAUGUCCGUCUCCAGUUUGCUUUCCAUGUGAACUACCCAGCACCAUGAAACGGCUGGUGAUCAAGCAGUUUCACAGGAAUUUUUUCUGCCAACUUUGUUCCUCAUGUUGCUGCCUCCCACAAUUCCAUGUAAGCAUCACAGUGAUCAAACUCUCGUCGGGAAUCAAUUUUUGAUGCUAUGGAAGCCUCCUUCAAGGCCGGGGUCUUACCAAAGUUGUGUAAUUUGAGGAGAAUUCAGAAUGGUUUACUCAUGUCGAGGAUGAGAAGAUUGAAAAUGUAGCUGCCACAGCAGGCAAGAAUUUCAUUGCUUUCUCAAAACCAUUGAGGUUCCCACACUGCAUUUGCUCGCUGAUAGUCAUGAACUAUUAGUCAUCCAAUAGACUAUUUUUUUCCUCUGCUUUUUCAAUUGCAUUGUCAACUAUUUCCCUCCUAAAGGAUGACUCUAUUUGAACGGUGAUAAGAAGACACUGUCAUUUUCUUCUUUUCAACUGAAUCAUUUAUAUUUGUACGUGAAAAUAUUGUCUUCUGAAAUUUCAUCAUUUUAAGGUCUGAUAA